rnacentral:lncRNA from 1 species
CUGAACUGUAGUCCAGAUAUACAUUUGUGAGAGGGUUGUGCUACAUACCUGUUAAGAGGCCCAGGGUUUAUCUGCGUGAUCAUAAUCUCUUCUUGGUCUGCUUUGCCCCCUUUUCCCUCCNUUUCCCUUUUCGUUCCUCAUUCUUUCUCAUGACCGUUUCCACUUGAUCUACCCAGCAGGUCAGAAAGCUGAUGUUACAUCUUAUCUAGCAGUGGGUAUAAAAGCCAGACUUUACCUUCUUCAGAUGACACUGGAAAUCAGAAAUACCAACCUUCAGGACUGCAAACUCUGUCUUUCAGGAUGUUUUGCUUCAUCCUUCUCACUUUAUUGUGCUGCAGUGUCACCUUCAGUACAGACAUUUUAUCCUCUGUUUACUCUGCAUCUGAAGANUUUGGUGGAGUGGGAGGAGAUUUGUUCUCACACUUUCAGAAUCAAUUGGAUGGACCUAUAACGGCUUUUAGGAUUUAUUUUGACACGCUUUUCAUUUCAGGGUAAGUGUCCCAAAUUAUCAGAAAUGUAACAUUUUUUU